UGAAUUUUCCCAUGACGACCCAAAAAGCAAUGGUGCAAGAAGACGAAGAAGCUGGGUAAAUGACAUGGCUCCAGCUUCCUCUGCCACACAGCUGAGGCCGUGCAUUUCAUUGCAUCCUUGGGAGAAGAGUUCAGAAUGACCCAUUGGAUGGAAAUGCUGAAAUCCUUCUUUCUCAAUGGCGAAAAGGGCAAUAAAAUUUAUGACAGCUGAGUUAUCUGCUCACCAAGGUAUAAAAAGCAGUCAGAAGAUGAGACCGUUUCAUGACCACGCAUAGGUCGCUGUAAAUCAAAACUCACACCUUUCCAGGAGUGUUCAUUCAUAAAAGAAGGAACGAAGCAUGAAGAAGCUGGCAUUCUCCCUCCUGUUGGUUUUUGUCUUAGGGACUGCAGCUCAUGUUCUGACACCCAAGAAUGAUACGAAGGAAGAAAUGGAAACUGAG